AGCUGCGUGGUGAGCACAGAGCGAACUAUUCUUUCGCCUUUUACUAAAGAAUACCGUGUGCUCGCUACACAUAGCAGCAUACAUCAAUUUUUGAAGGGGCCUCGCUUAAUUGUCGAGAAC
rfam:Punica granatum cultivar Dabenzi scaffold70, whole genome shotgun sequence.